rnacentral:lncRNA from 1 species
AUGUUUCCAUCAGCCUCAGGCCUCAGGAGUCACAGGAGCCGUGACACGAGCCGUGCCUCAGGACGCACCACUGCUACGGACUGUUUCACUGUCGCCCUCUGGUGGCAAAACCAAGCACUAACAUUCCACAUGUUAUCGUCAGGAAGGCACUGUAUGCAUGUGAUGCCUCCAAUAUACAGUCAUAUAUAUUGGUGCAGUCUUCCAUGAAGAACCAGGUCCAGCUCCGUGAAGGACUAGCGCCUCCUAGUGGACGUCUGAAGCUCCCACAGUCAGUCCAUCGGUCUGGAACAAGUCCCGUCAGUAACUUAGUAACUGUCAGCUAGUAAUUAAACACCCACUAAUAUUGGAAAGAUUUGAGUUUAGGGAAGAAGACAAAAUGAUGAAAUAAAAAAUAAAGUUGUACUAAACA